UGGACGGAAGUGUAAUGAGGGUA
rnacentral:miRNA from 1 species